rnacentral:rRNA from 1 species
AGUACGGAAUAAUUGUUGGAAACGGCAGCUAAUACCGUAUACGCCCUACGGGGGAAAAAUUUAUUGCUAUUAGAUGAGCCUAUAUUAGAUUAGCUAGUUGGUGGAGUAAUAGCCUACCAAGGCAAUGAUCUAUAGCUGAUCUGAGAGGAUGAUCAGCCACACUGGAACUGAGAUACGGUCCAGACUCCUACGGGAGGCAGCAGUGGGGAAUAUUGGACAAUGGGCGAAAGCCUGAUCCAGCCAUGCCGCAUGAGUGAAGAAGGCCUUUGGGUUGUAAAGCUCUUUUAGUGAGGAAGAUAAUGACGGUACUCACAGAAGAAGUCCUGGCUAACUCCGUGCCAGCAGCCGCGGUAAUACGGAGAGGGCUAGCGUUAUUCGGAAUUAUUGGGCGUAAAGGGCGCGUAGGCUGGUUAAUAAGUUAAAAGUGAAAUCCCGAGGCUUAACCUUGGAAUUGCUUUUAAAACUAUUAAUCUAGAGAUUGAAAGAGGAUAGAGGAAUUCCUGAUGUAGAGGUAAAAUUCGUAAAUAUUAGGAGGAACACCAGUGGCGAAGGCGUCUAUCUGGUUCAAAUCUGACGCUGAAGCGCGAAGGCGUGGGGAGCAAACAGGAUUAGAUACCCUGGUAGUCCACGCUGUAAACGAUGAAUGUUAAAUAUGGGAAGUUUACUUUCUGUAUUACAGCUAACGCGUUAAACAUUCCGCCUGGGGACUACGGUCGCAAGAUUAAAACUCAAAGGAAUUGACGGGGACCCGCACAAGCGGUGGAGC